rnacentral:rRNA from 1 species
GACGAACGCUGGUGGCGUGCCUAAUACAUGCAAGUCGAGCGGACCAAUAGAAGCUUGCUUCUGUUGGUUAGCGGCGGACGGGUGAGUAACACGUGGGCAACCUGCCUGUAAGACUGGGAUAACUUCGGGAAACCGGAGCUAAUACCGGAUAAUUCAUCCCCUCGCAUGAGGGGAUGCUGAAAGUCGGUUUACGCUGACACUUACAGAUGGGCCCGCGGCGCAUUAGCUAGUUGGUGAGGUAAUGGCUCACCAAGGCGACGAUGCGUAGCCGACCUGGAGGGGUGAUCGGCCACACGGGGACUGAGACACGGCCCGGACUCCUACGGGAGGCAGCAGUAGGGAAUCUUCCACAAUGGACGAAAGUCUGAUGGAGCAACGCCGCGUGAGCGAUGAAGGCCUUCGGGUCGUAAAGCUCUGUUGUUAGGGAAGAACAAGUAUCGGAGUAACUGCCGGUACCUUGACGGUACCUAACCAGAAAGCCACGGCUAACUACGUGCCAGCCGCCGCCGUAA